UGACGAGUUUGAUCCUGGCUCAGGACGAACGCUGGCGGCGUGCUUAACACAUGCAAGUCGAGGGGUAUAGUUCUUCGGAGCUAGAGACCGGCGCACGGGUGCGUAACGCGUAUGCAAUCUACCUUUUACAGAGGGAUAGCCCAGAGAAAUUUGGAUUAAUACCUCAUAGUAUUUUCGAAUCGCAUGGUUUUCACAUUAAAGUUCCAACGGUAAAAGAUGAGCAUGCGUCCCAUUAGCUAGAUGGUAAGGUAACGGCUUACCAUGGCUACGAUAGGUAGGGGUCCUGAGAGGGAGAUCCCCCACACUGGUACUGAGACACGGACCAGACUCCUACGGGAGCAGCAGUGAGAAUUUUCUGCAAUGGGGCGAAAGCCUGACAGAGCAAUACCCGCGUGAGGGAUGAAAGCC
rnacentral:rRNA from 1 species